rnacentral:rRNA from 1 species
AUUGAACGCUGGCGGCAGGCCUAACACAUGCAAGUCGAGCGGAUGAAGGGAGCUUGCUCCUGGAUUCAGCGGCGGACGGGUGAGUAAUGCCUAGGAAUCUGCCUGGUAGUGGGGGAUAACGUCCGGAAACGGGCGCUAAUACCGCAUAUGUCCUGAGGGAGAAAGUGGGGGAUCUUCAGACCUCACGCUAUCAGAUGAGCCUAGGUCGGAUUAGCUAGUUGGUGGGGUAAAGGCCUACCAAGGCGACGAUCCGUAACUGGUCUGAGAGGAUGAUCAGUCACACUGGAACUGAGACACGGUCCAGACUCCUACGGGAGGCAGCAGUGGGGAAUAUUGGACAAUGGGCGAAAGCCUGAUCCAGCCAUGCCGCGUGUGUGAAGAAGGUCUUCGGAUUGUAAAGCACUUUAAGUUGGGAGGAAGGGCAGUAAGUUAAUACCUUGCUGUUUUGACGUUACCAACAGAAUAAGCACCGGCUAACUUCGUG